rnacentral:lncRNA from 1 species
GGCCGAUUAAGAACCUGAGUAAAACAACAAGUUCCAUUGAAACUCAAUGGACAGAGGCGCCUCUGAUGACUGGUGCAAAAUUCUACUACCUGCUGACUUACACAUCAUCCCAGCAAUCCAAAAAUAUCACUACCACAAACACCAGAUGGAACUUCUCUUCCCUGUCUUCUGGGACUUCCUACAACAUUUCUGCGACAACUGUGGGGGAACUGGGAUUUCAGAGUGAGACGGUUUACAUCUACAUGGUCACAACAAGACCACUGGCAGUGCAGGACCUCAUGGCCACUCCAGGAGAGACACACAUCAUAGUCAAUUGGAGCAAUCCUCCUGAAUACAAGAAAAGCUAUAAAUACUUUUUGUCCUGGAAUCAAACUAAAUCCCAAAUGCAGGACUUCACAGUUGCACAAACUGUGUAUAAUAUCACUGACUUGGAACCUGGUCAGUGCUAUAGCAUUAACGUCACCACAGAGACCUCUGAUGGAACACAGGGUACACAAGUAACGAUCACCAGAUGCACAAAUGCAAGCCCAGUGACAAUCUUAGUCUGUCAAGGUCCAAACGACAAUACUGCACAAAUCAUCUUGUCAUGUUCCACACCCCCUGGCCAACACACUGGCUUCCAGAUGAUUGUAAAUGGAAACAACAUCACUACCAGCUCCUGCAAUUAUACUAUUUCUGACCUUAACCACAAUACUAACUAUAAUGUGACUGUAAAAACUCUAAGCUAUGGAAAUCCCAGCAUUCCUGUGUAUCGCAUGUGCUCAACAGGCAUAGCUAUCACUACUAUUGCUGUUGCUGUAUCAGUAGCAGUUUUUCUCAUUCUCUUCAGUGUCCUCAUCGCCUUUAUUAUCUACUGGAAAAGGUUUGCCACUAUCACCAGUGAUUAAAAAACAUGUUCAUUAAAUCUCCAUGUAUAUGAAUAAAUUCUAAAUUUACAGUUUAUAUACUCUAUCUACUUCUGUAGGCUAGCCAAAAAAGAAUCACCAGACAUCCAGAUUCAAUCUUUAAGGUAAAAUCUGUAUUUUUAUCAUUUCGUUGUACUGUAUGCAUGAUAUACUUAGACAACAAUU